rnacentral:rRNA from 1 species
GAUUCAGUAGGUUGGUCGUGCCACAGGUAUGUACUGGCUUCACUGAUUCCUCCUUCUUGUAGAAAUGUGAUGCCAUUAAUUUGGUUGUUGCAUGGAAACAGGACUGUUACUUUGAAAAAAUUAGAGUGUUUAAAGCAGGCAAACGCUUGAAUACAUUAGCAUGGAAUAAUGAAAUAGGACGUUCGAACCUUUUUGUUGGUUUUCUAGGAUUGACGUA